rnacentral:rRNA from 1 species
CCUACGGGUGGCAGCAGUAGGGAAUAUUGCUCAAUGGGGGAAACCCUGAAGCAGCAACGCCGCGUGGAGGAUGAAGGCUCUCGGAUUGUUAACUCCUUUUGUCAGAGAAGAUAAUGACGGUAUCCAACGAAUAAGCACCGGCCAACUCCGUGCCAGCUGCCGCGGUAAAACGGAGGGUGCAGGCGUUAUUCGGAAUCACUGGGCGUUAGGAGGGUGUAGGCGGGAUAGCAAGUCAGAUGUGAAAUCCUAUGGCUUAACCAUAGAACUGCAUUUGAAACUGUUAUUCUAGAGUAUGGGAGAGGUAGGUGGAAUGCGUGGUGUAGGGGUGAAAUCCGUAGAGAUCAAGAGGAAUACUCAUUGCGAAGGCGACCUGCUAGAACAUAACUGACGCUGAUGCGCGAAAGCGUGGGUAGCGAACAGGAUUAGAUACCCGAGUAGUC